UGGCGGCGCGCCUAACACAUGCAAGUCGAACGAGAAAGCCGGGCAACUGGUGAGUAAAGUGGCGUACGGGUGAGUAACACGUGGAUGAUCUACCUCCUUGUGGGGAAUAACCCUGGGAAACCGGGGCUAAUACCGCAUAAGUCCGGGAGAAAGCAGCAAUGCGCUGGGAGAGGAGUCCGCGGCCGAUUAGCUAGUUGGCAGGGUAAAAGCCUACCAAGGCAAAGAUCGGUAGCCGGCCUGAGAGGGCACACGGCCACACUGGCACUGAAACACGGGCCAGACUCCUACGGGAGGCAGCAGUGGGGAAUCUUGCACAAUGGGGGAAACCCUGAUGCAGCGACGCCGCGUGAGCGAUGAAGCCCUUCGGGGUGUAAAGCUCUUUCGGCAGGGAAGAUUAUGACGGUACCUGCAGAAGCAGCUGCGGCUAACUACGUGCCAGCAGCCGCGGUAAUACGUAGGCAGCAAGCGUUGUUCGGAGUUACUGGGCGUAAAGGGUGUGUAGGCGGUUGCUUAAGUUUGGUGUGAAAUCUCCCGGCUCAACUGGGAGGGUGCGCCGAAUACUGAGUGACUCGAGUGCGGGAGAGGAAAGUGGAAUUCCUGGUGUAGCGGUGAAAUGCGUAGAUAUCAGGAGGAACACCGGUGGUGUAGACGGCUUUCUGGACCGUAACUGACGCUGAGACACGAAAGCGUGGGUAGCAAACAGGAUUAGAUACCCUGGUAGUCCACGCCCUAAACGAUGCACAUUUGGUGUGGGUCAUUCAGUUGAUCCGUGCCGGAGCUAACGCGUU
rnacentral:rRNA from 1 species